AUUAUUAUGUGUUCUUAACUAUAACUACAAUAGAUUCUUUUUAAAAUAGUCUUUUCUUUUCUUUGUCUCUUUUCUUUUCUUUUCUUUCUUUUUUUCUUUUUUUCUUUUUGCAAUGCUGUGAUGAAACCUAGGCCUCCCUCGUGUAUGCUGGCCCAGUUCUGCCCCUGAGCUGGUCUCUUUAGCUGGUACUUUCUGGAGAAGACUCUAUUUGAGUAAACAGGCAAAUAAACCUUUCUAGUUUUAGCAGUUUUAAAGUUGUUAAAUGAUGAAAAUUAUUUCAUAUUUGAAAAUAAUGUGAAAAAUCAAGUACAAAAAGACCUAAAGAGUAUAUGCUUAUCCUCUUUAUGUGUUAAAGAGCCUGUUUUUUUUUUUUUCUCCUGAAAACUCGUCUGUUGUUUACUGGGUUCUAUUUUGAAUCAGUCAAGUAUCAUGUAGUCACUUGGAUCCAUUGGCUUGUUUACUAUAUAUUUGUAAAGCUCAGUGUCUGUGCCAAAAAGCACACUAGUAUCUUAUGUGUAUGUGUGUGCAUGUAUGUAUAUAUAUAUGUAUGUAUGUAUGUAUGUAUAUGUAUGUAUGUAUAUACACACAUUCACACACACACACAUGUAUAUGUAUGUACAUAUAUAUACACACACGCACACACAUACACAUAAGAUAUAUGUGUAUAUAUUACAUAUAUGCACAUACACAUAUAUAUGUAUACAUGUCAAAAUUAAUUAAUUUACUCUGAACAUCAUAUUUUUACAGUUGGAAAUGUGUUUGCAUGCUAAUUGAUUGAAGUUUUAAUACAUUUUUCUUAAAGGGGUUAUACUAUUUUCUUUAUUUUUUUUUAGGUUUUGUAUGAACAAUUCAAGUUUUUCUUGAAUCUCUAUUUUCUGGUAGUGUCCUGCUCACAGUUUGUACCAGCAUUGAAAAUUGGCUACCUCUACACCUACUGGGCUCCUCUGGUAAAAUACUUCUAUAGUUAUGUUUCUUUUUGUUUGUUUGUCUGUUUUUUGUUUGUUUGUUUUUAUGUGUAUUUGUUGAAAUAACUUUUAAUAUAUUGCAUGAGGUUUCCUGUAGCAGAAUAUAUUUUAUUUUUUAAUAUUUAGCAUAUACUUUUAAUAUUGAGGUGACUGGAAUAAAUCUACUGUAUUUGAACAUUUGUUAAAGAACAUGCCGAGUUUAGUGACUUAACUCCCAAGUCCUAUAUUGUGUUGUCAGUGUCCCUGUCAGCAUAGCUGCAGCUGUGUAUGUCCUUCCUUCUGCCUGGGUCCUGUGCACCCGGACUGGGGUAGCAGUAGCCUACCUGCUCCUGUUUUCUCCUGUGCUCUGCAGCUACAGAGCUAUAAGAGGUAAUGGUAAUACCUCUUAUACAUAUAUUCUGUCUUUGUAGUUUUAUAAUUUGUUGAUUAUUUUGGUUGCUCUUUUUUCUGUUAGAUCAGUGGUUCUCAACUUGUGGGUCAUGACCUUUUUUUUCUUAGGGGUCACCUAAGACCAUUGGAAAACACAGAUAUUUACAUUCUGAUUCUCAACAGUAGCAAAAUUACAGUUAUGAAGUAGUAAACACAAACAAUUUUAUGGCUGGGGGUCAUCACAGCUUAAGGAAUGUAUUAAAGGGUUGCAGCAUUAGGAAGGCUGAGAACCACUGGGUUAGAUAACUAGAGGCAAUACAACAGAUACAAUUAUUCCCCCUGUUCAAGUGUUCACUUCUCCCCAACAUGUGACCUUUAAACUUGAAGGUCCAAGUAGCCUGUUCUUGAGCAGGUCCAUGCUGGCUGUGUAUGUCCCUUUCUUAACCAGAGACUUCCUAGUGAGGCCAUAGGCCUUUGUUCCACGUCAGGCUUAGUCCUCAUCAUUCGUAAAGUCAUAUGAGGUGUUGUUAGUGACUGCCUGCCUACCAAGCCAUAAGAGUAGGGUAAAUUUGAGGAGCGCCAGCAACUUUCCAUAACUGUAUGGAAUAUAGACACAAAGUUCUGAGUAAACGAAUGAAAUCAGAUUUCACUUGAUAGAAGUUAGGCUCAAGGAGACAUUGGCACUGAUCUGGGAGCAAAAGUGACAUACGGCAGUCUGUCUAUCUGGGCCACCGUUGCAGGGUUGUCAGUGUAUAUGGAAGACCUUUAAAGUGAACUUACUGUUUUGAAAGGAUUUAUUCUUUAGAGGUGUGGUGAUUGGUAAGACAAAAGAAUGCUUAGUAUUAUUUUUGAGUAAGUUUUAAAAUAGAACUGCAAAGACUAUGAAACCAGGAAGGAUCCCACAAGUGGGACAGAGAUGUGUUGGGGAAUGUCGGGAGACCAGUGGGGCACUAAGGCAUGAGAGCAGAAAGGAAGCAGUAGGGAGUGGGUAGAGGUGUAUAGGGUAGGGGAGGACCAUAGAGGAUAAGAGCCUGACAAGGUUUGUUUGAAAAUGCUGUAAUGAAACCGAACACUAUGCAUGCUAAUAAAAAAAUUUAGUGUGUGUGUAGGGUGAAUAUACAGUUCUUUUGACCAGGUUUUUUGUAUACAGUACUAGUAUGGACAAUGUUGAUACAUCAGUGAACAAAGCUAGACAAAAGCUUAUCCUAAUAGACCUUCAAUUGUCAGGGAGAACACAGCCCAGAAACAGCUACAUAGUGCUAGGUUUCUUAGUCAUGGCUGAAAAGAAG
rnacentral:lncRNA from 1 species